rnacentral:rRNA from 1 species
CAGAGGGGGCAAGCGUUGCUCGGAAUUACUGGGCGUAAAGGGCGCGUAGGCGGGAUGGCAAGUCGGUCGUGAAAUCCUUCGGCUCAACCGAAGAACGUCGAUCGAUACUGCUGUUCUAGAGGAUUGCAGAGGAGACUGGAAUUCCCGGUGUAGCGGUGAAAUGUGUAGAGAUCGGGAGGAACACCGGUGGCGAAGGCGGGUCUCUGGGCAAUUCCUGACGCUGAGGCGCGAAAGCGUGGGGAGCAAACGGGAUUAGAUACCCCGGUAGUCCACGCUGUAAACGAUGAGCACUAGGUGUGGGGGGGUUCAGUCCCUUCCGUGCCGCAGCUAACGCAUUAAGUGCUCCGCCUGGGGAGUACGGCCGCAAGGUUG